GCUCGUUGCAUCACUCUCCAUCUUCUCCUCCAUCCAUGCUCGAGGUAGAAUUCCUUCAAUCUGUAGAGAUGGGAUUAAACCCGUGAGUUGAAAAAUUCAAUAGUUGUCAUAGGUGCAUUCGUGAACAAGCUAUACAUUUCAAAACAUUAACUUUAUAACUUUUCAUACAUGCCGUACCCGGAGGCACCAUUUGACAUGAAGGGGUAUGCCGUACCUGAGGGCACCAUUUGACAUACGAACAUUUCUUCAACAUAGAGGGGUAUGCCGUAUCGGAGUACCAUUUGACAUACAACCAUUAACAUAGAGGGAUAUGCUGUACCGGAGUACCAUUUGACAUACAAACAUUAACAUGAAUCGAAACUUAUAACUUAACACGAUUAAACACAUUGCACCUCUACCUACCUUGAUUGAUUCUUUUGAAACUUUGAAAACUUGGAUUGAUGAAACUUGGACGUUGAAAGAAAUGCACUCCUUGGAUGUUUGAAAACAAUUGAGAAUUGAUGCUUGAAAACACUUCUUAAACUUCUAGGAAAAAUAGUUUUCCUCCCUCUCUUUUUC
rnacentral:lncRNA from 1 species